rnacentral:rRNA from 1 species
GAUUGCGAUGGGGGGACGAAGAAGGCUAGGUGAGCCAGGCGUUGGUAGUCCUGGUGAAAGUCGGUAGGCUGAGGGCUCAGGUAAAUCCGGGCGCUCAAGGCCGAGAGACGAGACGAAGACACCACGGUGUUGAAGUCAUCGAUGCCACGCUUCCAGGAAAAGCCUCUAAGCUUCAGAUCAUGUGCGACCGUACCCCAAACCGACACAGGUGGUCAGGGUGAGAAUCCCAAGGCGCUUGAGAGAACUCGGGUGAAGGAACUAGGCAAAAUGGUGCCGUAACUUCGGGAGAAGGCACGCCGGCGUAUUGUGAGAGCCCUCGCGGCUUCAGCGAGAACCGGUCGAAGAUACCAGGUGGCUGCAACUGUUUAGUAAAAACACAGCACUCUGCUAACGCGUAAGCGGACGUAUAGGGUGUGACGCCUGCCCGGUGCCGGAAGGUUAAGUGAUGGUGUUAGCCGUAAGGCGAAGCUCUUGAUCGAAGCCCCGGUAAACGGCGGCCGUAACUAUAACGGUCCUAAGGUAGCGAAAUUCCUUGUCGGGUAAGUUCCGACCUGCACGAAUGGCGUAAUGAUGGCCACGCUGUCUCCACCCGAGACUCAGUGAAAUUGAAAUCGCCGUGAAGAUGCGGUGUACCCGCGGCUAGACGGAAAGACCCCGUGAACCUUUACUAUAGCUUCACACUGGACGCUGAUGUUGCCUGUGUAGGAUAGCUGGGAGGCUUAGAAACCCGGACGCCAGUUCGGGUGGAGCCAGCCUUGAAAUACCAGCCUGGCAUCAUUGGCGUUCUCACUCAGGUCCGUUAUCCGGAUCGAGGACAGUGUGUGGUGGGUAGUUUGACUGGGGCGGUCUCCUCCCAAAGCGUAACGGAGGAGCACGAAGGUACCCUCAGCACGGUCGGACAUCGUGCAAUGAGUGCAAGAGCAUAAGGGUGCUUGACUGCGAGACAGACACGUCGAGCAGGUGCGAAAGCAGGUUCUAGUGAUCCGGUGGUUCUGUAUGGAAGGGCCAUCGCUCAACGGAUAAAAGGUACUCCGGGGAUAACAGGCUGAUACCGCCCAAGAGUUCACAUCGACGGCGGUGUUUGGCACCUCGAUGUCGGCUCAUCACAUCCUGGGGCUGAAGUCGGUCCCAAGGGUAUGGCUGUUCGCCAUUUAAAGUGGUACGCGAGCUGGGUUUAGAACGUCGUGAGACAGUUCGGUCCCUAUCUGCCGUGGGCGUUGGAUGUUUGAGAAGGGCUGCUCCUAGUACGAGAGGACCGGAGUGGACGCACCUCUGGUGUUCCGGUUGUCACGCCAGUGGCAUUGCCGGGUAGCUAUGUGCGGACGGGAUAACCGCUGAAAGCAUCUAAGCGGGAAGCCCCCUUCAAGAUGAGACAUCCCUGAGGCCUAGAGCCUCCUGAAGGGCCCAGCGAGACCAGCUGGUUGAUAGGCACGGUGUGGACGCGCUGCAAGGCGUUGAGCUAACGUGUACUAAUGGCCCGUGAGGCUUGACCCU